CUAGGCGCCUUGAAUUACGCUCGGGCCAUUAAUCUCGCGAGAUUAGCCCAGUGAGCGCGUGGAUUUUGUCGUGUGCACGGAGGGUCACUUAGCAGCGAGAAGAUGGCGGACGUAAUCGAUAACGGGAAUGAGAUGAAACUGCCUGUGGGGAUAGACGAAGUAAAUCGUCUAAUCCAAGAAAACAGCCACCUUUUCUCUGAUGGCCACUGUAAAGUAUGCAGUGCUGUUUUGAUUUCUGAGUCACAGAAGCUAGCACAUUAUCAGAGCAGGAAACAUGCUGUUAAAUAUCACCGGUACUUGUCCAUUCACCAGGGAGAAGGUGUAACACCAGCAAAAAGGAGAGCUGAUGGCGCUUUGGAUAUCGAGGAUGAUGAUAAUGAUGAAACAGAUAGGAACAAAUGCUGCCCAGUCUGCAACAUGACCUUUUCAUCUCCUGUGGUUGCUGCUUCUCACUACCAAGGGAAAACUCAUGCAAAAAAUCUGAAGAUGAAGGUACAAGGAGGAGUUAAGGAAGGUGUACCUCUUCCCAAGAAGCCACGUUUAACACCACCUGCCCCUGCUCCUGAAAAAAACACAGGGACAGUUGAUCGGUCGGACCCUGAAAAAUUUUGCCAGCUCUGCAAUGCCACAUUUAACAAUCCUCAUAUGGCACAACAGCAUUACGCGGGCAAAAAACACAAGAAACAGGAGACCAAGAGCAAGCUUAUGACUAUAUAUAGCAGCUCUGGGAAUGCUUUGCCGCAAACUACACCUCUCAAACCUCUAACGCCAGGCUCUGCUUCAAGUGAGUCCAAUGCUGAGCCUGAAUCUGAAAAACCUGCUGUCUAAUUUGUAAGGGAAUGUUGUAGUUUCAUUUUUAGUGGGGAGAUAUUUCCAUUCCCCUGACUUUUAUUUCUAAGCCUUUUUUGUUCCUAGCAGUUAUUGUAUCUCUGCAUUUAAUGUAUGCAUGACCUGCUUGUGUAAAAUGCUAUAUCUUUAGGGAUGUAUAUAUUUUAAAAGGUAGGCUGAUAGUUUAAUGCCACAAACACAUAGCAAAGUAGAUUAGGACUAGUGCUGUUUUUUGUUAUCUGUAAACUGGUCUGUUUGGCUACUGCCAU